ensembl:snoRNA
UUUGAGACUAGAGUCACAUCCUGACAUGGUUACUUGUCCUGGUGUGCUAGAGUUCUUGAAGAAGAUCUCCUGGUCUUGGUUCACUGGUGGGAGCUGUCAGAACCCCUAUUGGUGCCAAGAUCAGAAAUAUAU